AUAGUGCCCCCGCCUCCUUGCGCGAAGUGCGCAGGCUCCUGGGCAGGGCUCGGGUUCUGCCCGGGGACGCAGCCCAGUUGGUAGCGUCGCUCCCUGAGCGUUUCUAAGGGGGCCGCCCGGCCUUGUCUUUCGGCAGUGGCCGAGCCACCGCCGCCUGCCGCGCGUUCCAGAGCUGGGCGCUGCAGCUGCACUGCCGAUCGCCGUGUUUGGUCGAUAGAAUCCCCAGUGUGCCCAGAGAGUGCGACCCCUCGCCCGGCCCGGCGAGCCCCGGGCGUGAACCGAGCUGAGGGAGGAUGGCAGCCUCUGGGGUGGAGAAGAGCAGCAAGAAGAAGACCGAGAAGAAACUUGCUGCUCGGGAAGAAGCUAAAUUGUUGGCGGGUUUCAUGGGCGUCAUGAAUAACAUGCGGAAACAGUGAUUUAAAUCUACCACCCAGCUGUAGUUGAAUCUACAAUCUGCUCAGGGAUUUAUACUCAAUGCCAAUUUGAUAUCAUGCUGGGAGGGACUGAUUGCAGAACCUUCUUGACAAGCCACAUAAAUCUAAAGAAAACGUUGUGUGACGUGAUCCUCAUGGUCCAGGAAAGAAAGAUACCUGCUCAUCGUGUUGUUCUUGCUGCAGCCAGUCAUUUUUUUAACUUAAUGUUCACAACUAACAUGCUUGAAUCAAAGUCCUUUGAAGUAGAACUCAAAGAUGCUGAACCUGAUAUUAUUGAACAACUGGUGGAAUUUGCUUAUACUGCUAGAAUUUCCGUGAAUAGCAACAAUGUUCAGUCUUUGCUGGAUGCAGCAAACCAAUAUCAGAUUGAACCUGUGAAGAAAAUGUGUGUUGAUUUUUUGAAAGAACAAGUUGAUGCUUCAAAUUGUCUUGGAGAAGCAGAAAAAGUUGAUCAGAGCCUUCCAGAGUGUGGUAUGCUUUUCACUGUGUGAUGAUCCUUAGUGGCACAUGAAUGAACGUCCAGAUGUUUGUGCAGUAGCCCACCCUUAUCUGCAGGAUACGUUCCAAGACCCCCAGUGAAUGCCUGAAACUGCAGAUAGUACUGAAUCCUAUAUAUACUGUGUUUUUUAUGAUACAUACAUGCCUAUGAUGAAGUUUAAUUUCUAAAUUAGACAGUAAAAGAUUAACAACAAUAAUAAUAAAAUAGAACAACUUUAACAAUA
rnacentral:lncRNA from 1 species